rnacentral:lncRNA from 10 species
CGCCUCCACACCUCCCCGCCAGCAGAGGGAGCCGGCUCCCGCCUCGGCCAGCCCCAGAGAGCGGCCGCCACAGCGCAGCGGCAGGGUGAAGGGCUCCUCCAGCGCGACCCGAGACGCCGAGGCCGAGGAGGCGCGGAGAGCGAGCGAAGGCUGCUAGCAAGUUGUCAUCUCUCAAUAGUUUUCUGGAAAGGUGGGGCCAAAAGAGCUGUUUGGAUAAGCUCUUUGCCGAAGAAUAACGUGAGAAGGAAUUAUGUCUCUGAAUACUUUCUUACCCCAUCAAAUAUGAGCAGGUAU